rnacentral:lncRNA from 1 species
CUCCAGAGUCAGGAAACGGGCAGAAAAAAUCACUGCAGACCCCUCACACCCCGGACACAAACUAUUCAAACUCCUCCCCUCUGGUAGACGCUACAGAUCACUGUUCGCCAAAACCUCCAGACACAAAAACAGUUUCUUCCCCCUCGCCGUCUCACUACUGAACAGCUAACCCACUGUAGCAUAUAUAUUUAUAUAUUUAUCCCUGCACUUCUCGCACUCUCCACUUCUUCUUUGCACUACUGUUUCACAGCUACUGUAUAUAGCCAUUCCGCCUUGUGUAUAUACUUUCUUAAACUUCUUAGACCGUUGCACUGUUUGUUUUGUAUUGUAUUGUGUUGUAAUGUAUAUUUUGUGUAUGCACACUGAGAGUCACUUUACCAAGUCAAAUUCCUUGUUUGUGCAAACUUACUUGGCCAAUAAAACCUGAUUCUGCUCUUGAAAGCCUUCAGGCUAUCUCCGGUGUAUGGGGAUGGAUUGUGUACAAGAUAAAUGUAUACGUCGGGAAAAGAGAGUUGGGGCAGACUUUAUGAGACAAAAUACAUUUUUUCUAAAUAUUGCUGUCUUUCUGUCUCAUUUAGAUGUGCUAUGUUCGUAGUCAUGACUGUUCGCUAGCUAACUAUGAUGGCUAACUAACUAACCACUAUAAUUAGAAAAUACUACAUUUAAAAAGUCUAAAUUUGAAGAACAUAUCAAUAGAAAACAAUACUAGUAUUAUAUUUCUAUUAUUAUUAUUAUAUUAUUAAUAUAUAUAUUAAUAUAUAUGACUAACUAGCUACUAUUGGGUACAAAAAUCUUAUAAUACAAUGGGAAUAACGGUUGAGUCGGACACAAAGAUGGCGGCAGGCGUCACGGAAGUGACGUCUUUGGUACCCAUGAAUUCGUUCGUGCAAUUGGCUGUCAACAGUCAAUGCUGCCGAUUGGCGGCUCACUGGCAUGUCCCGCCUCCUGCCAUGGCAUGUACUUCCUGACUGAUGCCACAUGCCAGUUAAAUAUCUAUUCCCUACUGCAUUCUCGAAGCUUAAACCGUGUACGUUGAGCGGAAUACAUUACAUGGUGUCAGAAAACUGCACAAAAAUGGCUUUGUCGCAGUUCGAACACCCCAAGAUCGAUUGGGACGCCUCUGAUUUAUAUCAAGAGUUUGAAAGAUUCCGUAGUCACGUCACGUUCGUCUUUGAUGGUCCCCUCUCCGACCUAGUGGCUAAGCGACAGGCAGGCUGGCUAGGUACAUGGAUCGGAGAAAAGGGCAGAGAAGUCUACAAGGCGCUAGUCUGGGGAGAAGGAGAAAAGGAAGAUCCGGCUAAGGUAUUGGAUAAAUUUGCCAAUUAUAUCAGACCAAGAAAAAACAAAAGGAUAGCCAGGCACCGUUUCAAACAAAGAAAACAGGGGCCAACCGAAAGUUUCGAUAAGUUCCUGAAAGAUUUGAGGCUCAUUCUGAUGAACUGUGAGUACACUGACCCCGAUGACAUGCUAAUCGACGCCAUUAUCGCGGGAGUGAGAGAUAAACGAGUCAAAGAGCGGCUGCUCGAAAGAGGCGAGGACCUCACGUUAAACAAGGCCAUAGGAAUAACUCAGCAGUUUGAAGCUUCACAAAAACAGACGAAAAUCGUCAGAGAUGAGGAUUCACAAAUAUCAGCAGUGUCUGUUAAACCGAAGCACUUCCUACCAGUGACUUUUCAGCUUCGCAGCCAAAUACCCAGACCCAGACCUUUCAUUAUGUCAGGUACAUGCUUUGAGUUUACCUCAGAGGAAGAACUCGGAGGAGGCACAGACAACUGCAAGUACUGCAGAAAAGUUGUCAUGUGCACAGCAGAGCACAUGCGGUUUCGGCAUUUAAAAAAUGCCAUAUAUUUUGAAUCCAGUGGCAGGAUCAAAUUCACCAUUCCCUGUUUUUGUGGAAGUGGAGGGGGGGAGAUGAAAAGGUGCCAUUGGCACUGUCCCAGGUGUCAGAAUGUCCUGACGCGUGCCCAGAACUUUAAGAAGCACCUUUCAAAUCAUGGUCUUAAAGUCACAGAAAAGCAGGAACAUAAAGAUAUGUCCUGUCAUGAACCUUCUGUGGAGGUCCAGAAGUUGGCAUGUGAGGUGUCUAUCUGUAGGGUCUUUAUGAAGGUAGAGGCAGAGAGUGGAAUUCCCGGGACCACCUAAUUAGGACGAAUCAGGGUGUGUGUUACUCUGCACCCCCACCUCUGAUGGCUGCCUCUUUACGGAUCAGGGACUUCUCUCCACCACACGGCAGGAGGAGUGCCAGCAGCUACAGAGGAAGGCCCUUUCUGAAGAAGUUAAUUGCGUUUUCCCCAUUUUUUGGGAAAAUCAAAGACCGCCUGAAAGAUUCAUUCAUUUUUCAGUUUUCACAGGAGAACAUGAUAGCUGGUGUCAUUUUGGCAGGACAAGGGUGUAUUUUGACACCCACAUGGGCCAAUGGCACUGUCAGUGCCAAAACAAAACAAAACAAUGCUCACACCGCUGUGUUUGUAAGUGGUGGUUGUUUCAGGAAGAGAGACACAGACCCGACAACAGACAAAAAGGAAACUCAAGAAAUUGAGGAACUUCUACAACAGUCUGCUUCCACCAGGCAAGGCAUUUCAGAAAUGGAUUGUACAGACAUCUCAUAAAAUCGUUCCUGUUGUGAUUUACACAAUCUAACUAAACCUUAAGAGUAAGACUCAUUUUGUUGGCUGUUAAUGAAUGUCGUAUGGGAAUAAUUCACUCCUGCUACCGUAUAUGACUUUUCAGCAAAAUCUCUCCUUCUGUAAGUGUCACACUCUUCUCUUGUGAACUGCAACCUUCAGAUACCAAAAAUGUCCUUUUAUUGAUUUUAAUGAAUAGGCAUUUACAAAAAACCCGCUUCUAACCUGUAUCCAAGAUGUUCAGCAACAUUUGACUCAUGCUAAAUUAUACACUCAAGGGAUGAGAACGGGAGGGGAAAUCAUUUGUUAUAAAUCUAAUUUUUCUGUUCAAGUACUACAUUCAUAAAUAUGUCUGGUUUUCCUAUGUUUAAAUUGAUUGAAACAAGGCAUAGAUAGCAUACAAUAUUCAAGUAAUGCAAAAGCUGUAAGGACCUUUAUGUUAUGCUGUGCCCAUCUGACCCAAAAUAUUUUGUAUUAUGAUGUCUUAUUAAAGUAUCUAUUUUUUUUGUGAACCUGAUAUCUGAUUGUUCUGGCAUAGCUCAAAUAUUAGUAUGUCCAAUAAAUAAAGUUUUCGACACA